AGGGUGCUGACAGAGGCGGCCCUGUGCUCUCUGGGUGCCUGCUUUGUCCAACAGGAAAAUAAUGAGAGCCACAAAGGGGAUUUUAAAUUUUCUAGUAGCCACAUUUUAAAAAGUAAAAAAAAAAAAAAAAAAUUAAGCUUAAUAGUGUAUUUUAACCCAGUAUAUCUAAAAUAUGAUCAUUUCAACAUGCAAUCAAUAGAAAAUUUAUAUUAAAUUUUCAUUGGAAAAAGCUGUUCGAUCUUUUAGAUUUUAUAAAAUUAACAGCUGAAGAAAUAGAUUCACAAGUUGUUCCAAGCAUGCCAAAAAUUGCUUUCCUAUAAUUGAACCAAUGAUCAGCUUCUAAAAAUUAAUUAAAAUUAAAGUAUUUCAUUUCUUAGGUGCACUAGCCCACAUUUCAAGGGCUCCACGGCCACAUGUGGCCGGUGACCCCCACGCGGAUGGCACAGAAUCAUAACGUUGCUACUUCAAGUGGGCUCCACACAUCAGCGUCACCCAGGAGUCUAUUGGAAAUGCAGAAUCUCACGUGUCGCCCCAGACCUACGGAAUCAGAAUCUGUGGUUUCAUGAGAUUCCCAGGUGAUCCAAUUUUACAAUAUAGAUUGGGAAGCACUUUUUUUUAAAACACACCGGGAAAAUUGGUAUUCUUCCAUUCACUAUCCAGGCGGGUGUACUAAGGCUCAGAGAGGUUGUAUAGUGUAUCUAAAAUCAUAGAGCUAAUAAGUACAGGAGCUAAAAUUCAAACUCAGAUCUUGCCCAUCUUAAAGCUCACACUUCAUCACUCAAAGCAUGGAACAUGUUGCUAAUGAUUUGAAAGCUGGUUUUAAAGGGUGCCCAGAGAGCAUUUUAAAAAGCCCUAAAUACCACGUUUGAGGAUUUGGCUCUUUUCUGCCCGCUUUUCAGUUUUCUAAUAAGGUCAAAGAUAGAGUCUGCGGUGCCAUCAUGUGUUUUACCUAAACCUUGCUGGAAGGGGGCCACAGCUUCAGAACAUUCAGUGAAGUGUCUAGCUAGAUCUUCAUAGCUCUGUCUCCUUUCAUCGUAUUCAUUCGUACUUUUACCAUCUAUGUGUGUCGUAGGAUGCUGCCUUUCUCUUUACAGCUAUGAUGCACAGAGGACAUUCAUGUAAGUAAGAGAGUGGUUAUAAAUGCAUGGUAGAUGGGGCACAGCUAUGACCACAUAGGGAUGACUGAGGGUGGGAAACGCUGGCCUGGAUGAAGAUGCUUCGCAGGAGGCAGCGCCCCCAGCAGGGCAAGCCCUAGAGGAGACUGAGAAGCACAAGAAUACAGAACACUGUUUGUUUUUGUUGCAGGUGCCCCAGUCAAAACCCUUAAUUGUUACAGUUUUGUCUUUGCAUGUGUGAUGGAUGUAGUUGCAGUUGGUCAGUUGGUUGGUCGGUUCAUUGGUUGCCCAGCAUUUCUUCCCUCUUAGCACAGAAAACAAAAGGUCCACCUUUUGACCUCCUCAGUCCCAACUGCAAAGCUGCGGGAUCCUCUAAUUGGAUGUUUCUGUUCUUGGAUGAAUAUAGAGCACAUGCCAAGAGAAGCAAGAAAAGCUUAGGGUUCAUAUGGCUGUCGUGGUGGUGGUGGCACAGUGACUUCACUCACGUUCCUCAAUGGUGGUGAUUCCGUGGCAGGAUCCACCAGGGGCAGCAGGAAUACCCCGACCAUGCUUUGGCCCGAUUCCAGGGCCUAGGUUCCCUUAGCCAUGUUGUGUUUCCAUGUGGAUCGCUCUUCAGGUUUCCUGUGGCAUCUGUGGGUCAUGCAGGAAAUUUCCGGAACUGCUCUUCCCUUUAUGGUAACCGGAGUUGGUUUCUGUCUUUUGCAAACAAAACCCCUGACUGUUAGAAUAGCAUUAUUUGAUUGUCUGUAAAACCCAUUAGAUGAUCUAGUCCCAUGAGAGUAGCGUCUGUAUCUGCUUGUUCGCAUCGCAUAAUCCCCCAGGCACAGAGCUGGUGCUCAGUAAUUUCGUGAGGAAUGAAGGAAUGAAUGUUAAGCAUAUAGAAGAUGCCAGGGAACAAUGCUGAACGUCAGGCUUUUACUUCCUCAAAAAGCAUUAAAUGCAUUCUAUGACUUAAGAGCAUCUCUGAAAAUUGGAGUUCCCACUGUGGCUCAGGGGGUCCAGAACCUGACACAGUGUCCGUGAGAGUGUGGGUUUGAUCCCUGGCCUCACUCAGUGUGUUAAGGAUCUGGCAUUGCAGUGAGCUGUGGCGUAGACUGGCAGCUGCACCUCCAAUUCGACCCCUAGCCUGAGCACUUCCAUAUGCUGCAGGUGCAGCCCUGAAAAGAAAAAAAAAAUAGCAUCUAUGAAAAUGAAACUUGAAAGGCAAAUUAAUAAUAAUAAUACCUAAAUUGAAAAAACUCUUUAUUUCACAGACUGAUUCACCCAAGAGUUCUUCUUUGAUUUUUCCAGUGUUAUGUUUUGUUUUCUGACUAUAAGCUAUUAGAGGAGCUUAGAGCAUAAAGGUAAGAGUGACUUUUUGUGCAGUGACUAUGCAGUGCUUUCAAAAUUAAAGGAAAUAAAGUAUUUGAAAAACAGCAUUUGGAGCCAUUGGCAACCCAAAGUGGUUCAACCAUGAAGAUCACACGUCUGAAAUAGAAACGUCAGUCAUAGAAUUUUCAGAAAUUAGUACAUGGCCUGCUAAAUUGCAAAGCUGUGCCAAGCAGCUUACCAACAUUUUUAAGCUUCCCAACAACCAAGGAGUUACCUACUUUUGCGACUCUUUUCUAGAUGAGAAACCUAAGACAGCAAAGAAACGAAUUUGCCUGAGGUCAGAGCCAAUAAAAAUCUCACCGCUAAGGAGCUAGGAUUUAAACUUCAGCCCGACUCCAAAGCAGGAGAUUGUAAGCACCAUCCAUACUACCCAAGUCACCUGAGAGACUCGGGGCAUAUACUUGUAAUCACGACCCUGACGCUUCUGCUGACACUUGAUCGUUGGCAGCCUUGGUCCCCCCCAACUUUUUUUUUUUUUUUUUUUUUUUUUGGCUCCAAUCUGAGCAAGCCCCAAUGGAAAAUGGUCCCUUCCCUCUCUUGGUUCCAGCAAGGACGUUCACUUCACUCCAACGCUACCCCCUAAUCACACACACAAAGCCGCCCACCCCUUCCUUCUCUCCAGCCAUAUGCGGCCCAGCCUGGGGGACUGCUCUGUUCUCCCCGGAAAGCCUCUGAAUAACAGAGCUCUUCAUGGUCUCUUGGUGUUCAUGUAGCAUCAUCUGUCUUAACAUCCAAACAAAUUUUGGGUCGGGGGUGUUGGUCCUACCCACCUGGGACCUCGAGACAGUAUUCCAUGUCAGCAUUGUGCCUCGGCAUUUGAAGCCAGAAACCUUCGCUAAAGAUUCUUGUAAGAAAAAAGACUCUACAAAACGAUUGUUGCAUUGACU
rnacentral:lncRNA from 1 species